rnacentral:rRNA from 1 species
UUCCAGACUCCUACGGGAGGCAGCAGUGAGGAAUAUUGGUCAAUGGGCGCGAGCCUGAACCAGCCAAGUCGCGUGAGGGAUGGAGGAUCUAUGGUUCGUAAACCUCUUUUAUAAGGGAAUAAAGUGCGGGACGCGUCCCGCUUCGCAUGUACCUUAUGAAUAAGGAUCGGCUAACUCCGUGCCAGCAGCCGCGGUAAUACGGAGGAUGCGAGCGUUAUCCGGAUUUAUUGGGUUUAAAGGGUGCGUAGGCGGAUUUUUAAGUCAGCGGUAAAAUGUCCGGGCUCAACCCGGGCCGGCCGUUGAAACUGGGGAUCUUGGGUGGGCGAGAAGUAUGCGGAAUGCGUGGUGUAGCGGUGAAAUGCAUAGAU